GAUGAACGCUAGCGACAGGCUUAACACAUGCAAGUCGAGGGGCAUCAUGAGGUAGCAAUACCUUGAUGGCGACCGGCGCACGGGUGAGUAACGCGUAUGCAACCUGCCCGAUACCGGGGUAUAGCCCAUGGAAACGUGGAUUAACACCCCAUAGUACUUUUAUCCUGCCUGGGAUGGGAGUUAAAUGUUCAAGGUAUCGGAUGGGCAUGCGUCCUAUUAGUUAGUUGGCGGGGUAACAGCCCACCAAGACGAUGAUAGGUAGGGGUUCUGAGAGGAAGGUCCCCCACAUUGGAACUGAGACACGGUCCAGACUCCUACGGGAGGCAGCAGUGAGGAAUAUUGGUCAAUGGACGUAAGGCUGAACCAGCCAAGUCGCGUGAGGGAAGACUGCCCUAUGGGUUGUAAACCUCUUUCAUAAGGGAAGAAUAAGUUCUACGUGUAGAAUGAUGCCUGUACCUUAUGAAUAAGCAUCGGCUAACUCCGUGCCAGCCGCCGCCGUAA
rnacentral:rRNA from 1 species